rnacentral:rRNA from 1 species
CCUACGGGUGGCAGCAGUGGGGAAUAUUGGGCAAUGGGGAAACCCUGAUCCAGCGACGCCGCGUGAGGGAAGAAGUAUUUCGGUACGGAAAGCUCUAUCAGCAGGAAAGAAAAUGACGCUACCUGACUAAGAAGCCCCGUCGAACUACGUGCCAGCAGCCGCGGUAAUACGUAGGGGGCAAGCGUUAAUCGGAUGUACUGGGUGUAAAGGGAGCGUAGACGGCAGCGCAAGUCAGGAGUGAAAUGCCGGGGCCCAACCCGGGAACUGCCUUGGAAACUGGGAAGCUGGAGUGCAGGAGAGGUAAGCGGAAUUCCAGGUGUAGCAGUGAAAUGCGUAGAUAUCAGGAGGAACACCGGUUGCGAAGGCGACAAUCCGGCGCCCAACUGACGCUGAAGAGCGAAAGCGUGGGUAUCGAACAGGAUUAGAUACCCGAGUAGUC